rnacentral:rRNA from 1 species
UACAGAGGUCCCAAGCGUUGUUCGGAUUCAUUGGGCGUAAAGGGUGCGUAGGCGGCGCGGUAAGUCGGGUGUGAAAUCUCGGGGCUUAACUCCGAAACUGCAUUCGAUACUGCCGUGCUUGAGGACUGGAGAGGAGACUGGAAUUACGGUGUAGCGGUGAAAUGCGUAGAUAUCGUAAGGAAGACCAGUGGCGAAGGCGGGUCUCUGGACAGUUCCUGACGCUGAGGCACGAAGGCCAGGGGAGCAAACGGGG